rnacentral:rRNA from 1 species
UCCAGCAGCCCCAGGUGCCUUGGCAGCCUGAUGAUGCUCCAGCUCAGAAGUUAAGCAGUGUUGGGUCUGACUGUGGCUUGGAUGGGGUACCGCCUUGGGAGACUGGUGGCUGGAC